rnacentral:rRNA from 1 species
UACGAAGGGGGCUAGCGUUGCUCGGUAUCACUGGGCGUAAAGCGCACGUAGGCGGCUUUUUAAGUCAGGGGUGAAAUCCUGGAGCUCAACUCCAGAACUGCCUUUGAUACUGAGAAGCUUGAGUCCGGGAGAGGUGAGUGGAACUGCGAGUGUAGAGGUGAAAUUCGUAGAUAUUCGCAAGAACACCAGUGGCGAAGGCGGCUCACUGGCCCGGUACUGACGCUGAGGUGCGAAAGCGUGGGGAGCAAACAGG